rnacentral:tRNA from 1 species
GACGAGGUGGUCGAGCGGUUAAGGCGAUGGACUGCUGAUCCUUUGGGCUCUGCCCGCGUGGGUUCGAAUCCCAUCCUUGUCG